rnacentral:rRNA from 1 species
AGUGAACGCUGGCGGUAGGCCUAACACAUGCAAGUCGAACGGCAGCACAGUAAGAGCUUGCUCUUACGGGUGGCGAGUGGCGGACGGGUAAGGAAUACAUCGGAAUCUACUUUUUCGUGGGGGAUAACGUAGGGAAACUUACGCUAUUACCGCAUACGACCUACGGGUGAAAGCAGGGGAUCUUCGGACCUUGCGCGAUUGAAUGAGCCGAUGUCGGAUUAGCUAGUUGGCGGGGUAAAGGCCCACCAAGGCGACGAUCCGUAGCUGGUCUGAGAGGAUGAUCAGCCACACUGGAACUGAGACACGGUCCAGACUCCUACGGGAGGCAGCAGUGGGGAAUAUUGGACAAUGGGCGCAAGCCUGAUCCAGCCAUACCGCGUGGGUGAAGAAGGCCUUCGGGUUGUAAAGCCCUUUUGUUGGGAAAGAAAAGCAGCAGGUUAAUACCCCGCUGUUCUGACGUUACCCAAAGAAUAAGCACCGGCUAACUUCGUG